GAAGGAGCUGCGGCUGCAGCGCAGCAGGUUCUCCAUCUUCCCGCACAGCUCGCAGUACUGCCGGUCUCGCUCGCUCGAGCUCGGCUCGCCGGGCCCGCAGCUGUCAUUGGCCAUGGCGACCGCAGCUGAGCAGGAGGGGUGCGGCCGGACGGCCUCGCCCGAGGCUGGGGAGCGGAGAGAGAGAUAGGGGCCGUCACUGCGCCAUGCACCCGCUACCCUUGACUCAAGGAGGCUGGCACCCAGGGCCCUCGGCCGGGUCGCUUCCGAGUCCUAGGCUCCGGCGCAGCGCAGGCGGCCGCCUCAGCGCCUAAUCGCCGCCGUGGGCUGAGAGAACGCGGCCUGUGCGGCGAACGGCAACCCGGGCUCGGGCGCGCGAGCCUGCGGAGCGCAAGACCGGCCCCCUCGGCUGCCGCCACCGCCUCAGCGUCCCGGGCGGCCCGGCCCAGGCUGCGGAGGAGCGCAGGGUUCUUUCUGCAAGUCUUCCACCAGGGCCACUGCCUCCUCUCCACUCUCCGGAUGCUGCUGUCUGACCCAGAUCUGGAUCUCCUGGAGAAGGACAGUCGGGAACUGUUCUAGGACCAGCAACUCCAGGAUCUGCUCUUUUGUACACUUCUCUGGCCUUAGCCACUGACAACAGAGCUUCUGGAGCUGGAGGAGGGCCUCUCGGGGUCGUGAUGCUUCUUGGUAACGGAAAUGCCAAAAGCUCUGGCAGGAUGUCUCUGGUCCAGGGUAAUUCCCUUGAAGGGAAAUUUCCUGCUCCCAGUGGGAAUCUUCUUCCAGUUUAACUAUUUGGAGAUCUUGUACUGAAGGAGUCUGGAUUUGUUGGUCCACAGCUACAGCCAUUG
rnacentral:lncRNA from 1 species